rnacentral:misc_RNA from 1 species
AAGUCGUAACAAGGUUUCCGUAGGUGAACCUGCGGAAGGAUCAUUAUUGAAUUCAACGCGAAGUUGUGCUGGCUUUCCGAAGCAUUGUGCACGCCUAGCAUAUAUUCAACCACCUGUGAACCUAUUGUAGAUCUGAGAGAUUUAUUUCAAGGAAACUUGGUUAGAGAGUCUGGCGUACCUAUUUACGGGUUCGACUGCUCUUGCUUUCUCAGAUCUAUGCUUUACACACCCGAUACAAUGUUAUAGAAUGUAUUACUGGCCUUAAAAAGCCUCUAACUUUAUACAACUUUCAACAACGGAUCUCUUGGCUCUC